GACGAACCGUCCUAACGUUGUUCGGAUUCACUGGGCUUAAAGGGCGCGUAGGCGGGCCCGCCAGUCCGGGGUGAAAGCUUUCGGCUCAACCGGAAAAGUGCCUCGGAAACUGCGGGUCUAGAGGGAGGUAGGGGCAUGUGGAACUUCUGGUGGAGCGGUGAAAUGCGUUGAUAUCAGAAGGAACGCCGGUGGCGAAAGCGACGUGCUGGACCUCUACUGACGCUGAGGCGCGAAAGCCAGGGGAGCAAACGGG
rnacentral:rRNA from 1 species